UACAGAGGGGGCAAGCGUUAUUCGGAAUUAUUGGGCGUAAAGGGCGCGUAGGCGGCCUUGCAAGUGGCGGGUGAAAUCCCUCGGCUUAACCGAGGAACUGCCUGCCAGACUGCAAGGCUCGAGACCGGGAGAGGUGAGUGGAAUUCCCAGUGUAGCGGUGAAAUGCGUAGAUAUUGGGAGGAACACCGGUGGCGAAGGCGGCUAUCUGGCCCGUAAUUGACGCUGAGGCGCGAAAGCGUGGGGAGCAAACAGG
rnacentral:rRNA from 1 species